AGAACUUAGCAGAGAUGCUUUGGUGCCUUCGGGAACUCUGAGACAGGUGCUGCAUGGCUGUCGUCAGCUCGUGUUGUGAAAGUGUUUGGGUUAAGUCCCGCAACGAGCGCAACCCUUAUCCUUUGUUGCCAGCGGUCCGGCCGGGAACUCAAAGGAGACUGCCAGUGAUAAACUGGAGGAAGGUGGGGAUGACGUCAAGUCAUCAUGGCCCUUACGAGUAGGGCUACACACGUGCUACAAUGGCGCAUACAAAGAGAAGCGACCUCGCGAGAGCAAGCGGACCUCAUAAAGUGCGUCGUAGUCCGGAUUGGAGUCUGCAACUCGACUCCAUGAAGUCGGAAUCGCUAGUAAUCGUAGAUCAGAAUGCUACGGUGAAUACGUUCCCGGGCCUUGUACACACCGCCCGUCACACCAUGGGAGUGGGUUGCAAAAGAAGUAGGUAGCUUAACCUUCGGGAGGGCGCUUACCACUUUGUGAUUCAUGACUGGGGUGAAGUCGUAACAAGGUAAGCGUAGCGAG
rnacentral:rRNA from 1 species